CCAUGCCGCGUGUGUGAAGAAGGCCUUCGGGUUGUAAAGUACUUUCAGUCGUGAGGAAGGUAGUGUAGUUAAUAGCUGCAUUAUUUGACGUUAGCGACAGAAGAAGCACCGGCUAACUCCGUGCCAGCAGCCGCGGUAAUACGGAGGGUGCGAGCGUUAAUCGGAAUUACUGGGCGUAAAGCGCAUGCAGGUGGUUUGUUAAGUCAGAUGUGAAAGCCCGGGGCUCAACCUCGGAAUUGCAUUUGAAACUGGCAGACUAGAGUACUGUAGAGGGGGGUAGAAUUUCAGGUGUAGCGGUGAAAUGCGUAGAGAUCUGAAGGAAUACCGGUGGCGAAGGCGGCCCCCUGGACAGAUACUGACACUCAGAUGCGAAAGCGUGGGGAGCAAACAGGAUUAGAUACCCCU
rnacentral:rRNA from 1 species